rnacentral:rRNA from 2 species
UAAUUAAGCAGAGGAAAAGAAACUAACAAGGAUUGACUCAGUAAGGGCGACUGAAGCGUCAAUAGCUCAUCAUGUGAAUCUGCACUGCAUUGCGCGGAAUUGUGAUCUGGAGACACUUGCAUCAUUGGGCCAGGCCAAGUUCCUUGGAAGUGGACAGCUCAGAGGGUGAAACUCCCAUGUGCCUGGCUUUGAGAGUGAAUGUCAAUGAGUCGAGUUGUUUGGGAUUGCAGCUCAAAGCAGAUGGUAAAUUCCAUCGAAAGCUAAAAACUAGUGGGAGACCGAUAGUGAACAAGUACCGUGAGGGAAAGAUGCAAAGAACUUUGAAAAGAGAGUUAAAGAGUACCUGAAAUUGCUGAAAAGGAAGCGAAGGAAUCCAGUGCCAGUUGCUCCAUACUUCCCUGCUCGCUUGCGGAUGGGGCGCUGUGGCCAACAUAGUCUUGUUCAAUGGGAUUGGGCGGAAGAGUGAUUCAGGUAGAUGAUCUUGUUACUUUGCGCUCAAGCCGAUUGGUUGUGACGAAAUGGAUUUCUUCUCCCCGUCUAGAAACACGGACCAAGGAGUCUAACAUAUGUGCGAGUACAGGGGAGAGAAACCUCCKUGCGCAAUGAAAGUGACAGUGGCUGGAACUUGGUUGCACAGUCCGCCGGCCUCAAUCUCAUGGGAGAACGGUCUGAGUGUGAGCAUACAUGUUGGGACCCGAAAGAUGGUGAACUAUGCUUGAGUAGGGUGAAGCCAGGGGAAACUCUGGUGGAGGCUCGUAGCGAUUCUGACGUGCAAAUCGAUCGUCAAACUUGAGUAUAGGGGCGAAAGACUAAUCGAACCAUCUAGUAGCUGGUUCCCUCCGAAAUUUCCCUUAGGAUAGCUGCGAUCGUAUACCAAUUUUGUCAGGUAAAG